rnacentral:rRNA from 1 species
AUUGAACGCUGGCGGCAGGCCUAACACAUGCAAGUCGAGCGGAUGAAGGGAGCUUGCUCCUGGAUUCAGCGGCGGACGGGUGAGUAAUGCCUAGGAAUCUGCCUGGUAGUGGGGGAUAACGUCCGGAAACGGGCGCUAAUACCGCAUACGUCCUGAGGGAGAAAGUGGGGGAUCUUCGGACCUCACGCUAUCAGAUGAGCCUAGGUCGGAUUAGCUAGUUGGUGGGGUAAAGGCCUACCAAGGCGACGAUCCGUAACUGGUCUGAGAGGAUGAUCAGUCACUGUAGAUCUGAGACGCGGUCCAGACCCAUGGGAGAGACAGCUGUGGAAUAUAUGAGAAUAUGCGCGAGAGCCUGACAGAGCCACGGCGCGUGUGAAGAAGGUCUUCGGAUUGUAAAGCACUUUAAGUUGGGAGGAAGGGCAGUAAGUUAAUACCUUGCUGUUUUGACGUUACCAACAGAAUAAGCACCGGCUAACUUCGUG